rnacentral:rRNA from 1 species
UGCAUGCAAGUCGAACGAAGUCUUCGGACUUAGUGGCGCACGGGUGAGUGACAUGUGGGAAUCUACCUAAAGGUUCGGAAUAACUGCGGGAAACUGUAGCCAAUACCGGAUGUGUCUGCAAAGAGAAAGAUUUAUCGCCUUUAGAUGAGCCCGCACUAGAUUAGCUAGUUGGUGAGGUAACUGCUCCACCAAGGCUACGAUCUAUAGCUGAUUUGAGAGGAUGAUCAGCCACACUGGGACUGAGACACGGCCCAGACUCCUACGGGAGGCAGCAGUAGGGAAUAUUGGACAAUGGGGGAAACCCUGAUCCAGCAAUGCCGCGUGAGUGAAGAAGGCCCUCGGGUUGUAAAACUCUUUCAUCAAUGAUGAUAAUGACAUUAGUUGAAGAAGAAGCUCCGGCUAACUUCGUGCCAGCAGCCGCGGUAAUACGAAGGGGGCUAGCGUUGUUCGGAAUCACUGGGCGUAAAGCGUAUGUAGGCGGAUCAAAAAGUUAGAUGUGAAAUCCCUGGGCUCAACCCAGGAACUGCAUUUAAAACUAGUGAUCUAGAAUUUGGUAAGGGUUAGUAGAAUUUCCAGUGUAGAGGUGAAAUUCGUAGAUAUUGGAAAGAAUACCAGAAGCGAAGGCGACUAACUAGGCCAUUUUUGA